UUGCUACUCCUUCUGUUCCGAAUUACUUGUCGCGUGUAUAGAUGUAUUUAAAUGUAUUUUAGUUAUAGAUACAUCCAUUUCAGCGAUGAGUAAUUUGAAACGGAGGGAGUACCUU
rnacentral:pre_miRNA from 1 species